rnacentral:lncRNA from 1 species
GCACCGGCAAGUACGAGAAGAAGGUGUACGUUCUGCCCAAGCACCUCGAUGAAAAGGUUGCUGCUCUUCACCUUGGCAAACUUGGAGCUAAGCUCACCAGGCUCACCAAGGAGCAGGCUGACUACAUCAGUGUGUCCGCCGAUGGUCCUUACAAGCCUCUUCACUACAGGUACUAAGUGGAAGAAGAAGAAGAAGAAGAAGAAGAAGAGUGAAUGUUUUGAGGGAAAGAAACAAAAUAUUUGGCCGGCUUGAUUGUUUUCAAUGAUGAUCUGUAGUAGGAUGUUAGGUUUAAAUUUCGUAGUAGUGUGUGUU